rnacentral:rRNA from 1 species
UGAGGAAUAUUGGUCAAUGGGCGAUGGCCUGAACCAGCCAAGUAGCGUGAAGGAUGACUGCCCUAUGGGUUGUAAACUUCUUUUAUAAAGGAAUAAAGUCGGGUAUGCAUACCCGUUUGCAUGUACUUUAUGAAUAAGGAUCGGCUAACUCCGUGCCAGCAGCCGCGGUAAUACGGAGGAUCCGAGCGUUAUCCGGAUUUAUUGGGUUUAAAGGGAGCGUAGAUGGAUGUUUAAGUCAGUUGUGAAAGUUUGCGGCUCAACCGUAAAAUCGCAGUUGAUACUGGAUGUCUUGAGUGCAGUUGAGGCAGGCGGAAUUCGUGGUGUAGCGGUGAAAUGCUUAGAUAUCACGAAGAACUCCGAUUGCGAAGGCAGCCUGCUAAGCUGCAACUGACAUUGAGGCUCGAAAGUGUGGGUAUCAAACAGGAUUAGAUACCCUGGUAGUCCACACGGUAAACGAUGAAUACUCGCUGUUUGCGAUAUACGGCAAGCGGCCAAGCGAAAGCGUUAAGUAUUCCACCUGGGGAGUACGCCGGCAACGGUGAAACUCAAAGGAAUUGACGGGGGCCCGCACAAGCGGAGGAACAUGUGGUUUAAUUCGAUGAUACGCGAGGAACCUUACCCGGGCUUAAAUUGCACUCGAAUGAUCCGGAAACGGUUCAGCUAGCAAUAGCGAGUGUGAAGGUGCUGCAUGGUUGUCGUCAGCUCGUGCCGUGAGGUGUCGGCUUAAGUGCCAUAACGAGCGCAACCCUUGUUGUCAGUUACUAACAGGUGAUGCUGAGGACUCUGACAAGACUGCCAUCGUAAGAUGUGAGGAAGGUGGGGAUGACGUCAAAUCAGCACGGCCCUUACGUCCGGGGCUACACACGUGUUACAAUGGGGGGUACAGAGGGCCGCUACCACGCGAGUGGAUGCCAAUCCCUAAAACCCCUCUCAGUUCGGACUGGAGUCUGCAACCCGACUCCACGAAGCUGGAUUCGCUAGUAAUCGCGCAUCAGCCACGGCGCGGUGAAUACGUUCCC